GCAUGGAGGCAAAGCAUUUAUAAUUCCGUUUGCAAAAACGUAGACCUGCUACCCUUAAUCAACAUCAGUAUAAAAGAGCCAAUCAUUUUCACACAUCUGAGUAAGAGACUCAAAUGUAAAAGUUAUGUUAUACAUCAUGGAGAGACAUAAUACAGGUUUGUGCAUCAAUUUGUCAGGCAUUUACAAUAUCACAAAACCAGGGGAAAUAAUAAAUGCAGUGUUGAAAUGUAUUGGGUUAAAUAUUUAGAAAUAAAACAUUUAGAAACGUAUAGAAGCAUAUUCACGCUCCUUUCCAGUAGGUGGCGGAAUGACCCUGAUCAGCUAAUCACAACGCGCCUGUAAAACCCACGAAGAAGACGAAAACGAAAGUAUCUGAGCUAAAUAAGAAAACACAAAGGCUGCGUUCGGAACCGCAUACUUCUCUACUAUAUAGUAGGGGAAAAGCAGUAGGCGAGCGAAUAAGUAUGUCCGAAUCCUUAGUAUUCAUAAAAGAGUAGGCGAGAAUUAGUAGGCAAAAGCACUAAUUCUCGCGAGAUUCAGACGUACGUCUACUUAAAGUGCGUCCGAAUAUGCCUACUAACCUACUAUAUAGUAGGCAAAAAGAGUACGUGAAGAAAGAAAUACGUUUGAAAGCUAAAAGAGUAGGCGAGAAAUCCCCUGAUGUCCUACUGCUUCAGCCCAGAUUCUGGAGUGUUCAUCGAUGGAUACUUUCAAUCCCAGGAGUCCACGGGAGAGCAAUAUGUCAUUAUCGAACGUGAUUGAGAACCGCGACGAAGGGACAGAUGAGACACACAUCUGUGUACCCAGUGUAGAGUGACGGAUAAAGGAAUGUGGCCAUCAAAGGCUUUGAAUCUUUUGUGGUGGAGCAGGACCUGCAAUUAAUGGUGACAUUUGUGGGGGAAAAAAGGAAAACCUGAUCUAAAAUAUAAAACUGGUAAGAAAGGAGAAAUCCACAGCAGCAUCCUGGAAAUGGUCUAGUGCCGUGGAUGAGAUCCUCCAUCACUCCACCUGCCCUUGUUCCCUCAUCUGGACCAGAUGUUGCUGUGGCCUCUUCAUCCUCAGUGAGCUCAGAG